UCAAGUGGCUAUACUGUGCUGAAUGUUCCUGAUUCUGGAAGCUAAGCAGUUCUGGGCCUGGCAGAAGUCAGACAGCAGACAACUUUGGGAUCCUACUAGGC
rnacentral:rRNA from 1 species